rnacentral:misc_RNA from 1 species
AACUAACGAUUUUUUGUUACAGUUUCUGUACUUUAUUGGUAUGAGAAACUUCCAGAACUUUCAUAGUUCUAGGGAAAUUUUGGAACAAUAGCCUUCGGGCUGU